CAGCCCUCUAAUUACCAGAAGUCAAACCAAAAAGGAAAAAAAGACAAAACCAUCCAGAAGAUUGGAGACUUUCUUCAGGGCUCUCCUACCUUUCUUGGAAGUAAAGCAAAGAGGAUCAUGGUAUUGAUGAGCAGAAAGUCCCCUGAUGGUGGGGCGAUGUCUCUAAAACACAAAUCCAAACGUGACAAACAAAAGCAUGACAGACCAGAUAUCUCCUCCCCAAUGAACAUACCAGCCCAUCAGAUCAUUGGCCGGAAUCCAGAGGAGAAAGAAAGUGAAAACCUUAUCAAGAAACGUCUUCGCACUAGAAUUGUGAAAUAAGCUGAAGGGAAAUGUAUUUUUAUUCUGUAUUUUGUAUGUUUUUUUUGGUUUUUUUUUUUUUGUAUUUUAAAUCGACUCCGUUUUUAAAAUCUUUUUUUUUUUUUUCUGAUGCACUUUUCAUUUACAAUAUCUAUUAUGUAUUAGUUAAAUUCUCUUUUUACUUUUUAGCAAAUAUGGCACAUCAUAUAUUAUCCUGGAAAUAAAUGUACACUAGUGCCGCUUUUAUUGGCAAGUUGAGAUGAUGGACAGUUUUCAUAAGCUCAUGUAUGGAAGAAUGAACUAAUUUUUGCUGCUCAAGUUAGAAUGGAAGUUCAGAAAUCACUACUGCACAUUUCUGACACAAGCUGUACGUUUAAACCACCGUUAUUCGUUUACAUUGUGC
rnacentral:lncRNA from 1 species